GGCACCAAGUGUCAAGCAUGUCCGUAUAGAAGACCACCUAAACAGGCUUUGUAGGAGGGAGUCACAAGGUGCAUGGUGGAGAGAUGAUGGGACUCAUUGUCCAGAAGAAUGUCACAGGGUCGAUUGAUCAGUUGGGGCAGGGCAGGAACACGUCAUAAUGGUGGAAUGUCGUAAGAGUGAGAACUUGUGACGGUGAAUAACUCUUCUCUUUCCUGGUACCUGGACUUCAGAGAUUAAUACAAAACCCUGUGGGUCAGGACUUGGCAACACCAAGAAGCAUUCAAAUAUAAUGAUUUAUUCAACUGUGUAUUGUCAUGGAAAUAAUAAUUAAAUGGCACAUCUUUGUUGUCUGAA
rnacentral:lncRNA from 1 species